UAGAGGAUGAUCAGCAACACUGGGACUGAGACACGGCCCAGACUCCUACGGGAGGCAGCAGUGGGGAAUCUUGGACAAUGGGCGCAAGCCUGAUCCAGCCAUGCCGCGUGAGUGAUGAAGGCCUUAGGGUCGUAAAGCUCUUUCGCCUGUGAAGAUAAUGACGGUAGCAGGUAAAGAAACCCCGGCUAACUCCGUGCCAGCAGCCGCGGUAAUACGGAGGGGGUUAGCGUUGUUCGGAAUUACUGGGCGUAAAGCGCACGUAGGCGGACUGGAAAGUUGGGGGUGAAAUCCCAGGGCUCAACCCUGGAACUGCCUCCAAAACUAUCAGUCUAGAGUUCGAGAGAGGUGAGUGGAAUUCCGAGUGUAGAGGUGAAAUUCGUAGAUAUUCGGAGGAACACCAGUGGCGAAGGCGGCUCACUGGCUCGAUACUGACGCUGAGGUGCGAAAGUGUGGGGAGCAAACAGGAUUAGAUACCCUGGUAGUCCACACCGUAAACGAUGAAUGCCAGUCGUCGGGUAGCAUGCUAUUCGGUGACACACCUAACGGAUUAAGCAU
rnacentral:rRNA from 1 species